rnacentral:rRNA from 1 species
CGUGUGAAUGGGCGCAGCCUGUCCGCCUGCCGCGUGGAUGAUGAAGGCCUUAGGGUUGUAAAGUCCUUUCGACGGGGAAGAUAAUGACGGUACCCGUAGAAGAAGCCCCGGCUAACUUCGUGCCAGCAGCCGCGGUAAUACGAAGGGGGCUAGCGUUGCUCGGAAUCACUGGGCGUAAAGCGCACGUAGGCGGACUCUUAAGUCGGUGGUGAAAUCCUGGAGCUCAACUCCAGAACUGCCUUCGAUACUGAGAGUCUCGAGUCCGGGAGAGGUGAGUGGAACUGCGAGUGUAGAGGUGAAAUUCGUAGAUAUUCGCAAGGACACCGGGGGCGAAGGCGGCUCACUGGCCCGGUACUGACGCUGAGGUGCGAAA